CCUACGGGAGGCAGCAGUGAGGAAUAUUGGUCAAUGGACGCAAGUCUGAACCAGCCAUGCCGCGUGCAGGAAGACGGCCCUAUGAGCUGUAAACUGCUUUUGUACGAGGGUAAACGCAGAUACGCGUAUCUGUCUGAAAGUAUCGUACGAAUAAGGAUCGGCUAACUCCGUGCCAGCAGCCGCGGUAAUACGGAGGAUUCGAGCGUUAUCCGGAUUUAUUGGGUUUAAAGGGAGCGUAGAUGGUUUGUUAAGUCAGUGGUGAAAUCCCGAGGCUCAACCUUGAAAUUGCCAUUGAUACUGUCAGUCUAGAGAGUAGUUGCGGUAGGCGGAAUUCGUGGUGUAGCGGUGAAAUGCUUAGAGAUCAUGCAGAACACCGAUUGCGAAGGCAGCUUACCAAACUACUACUGACAUUGAUGCACGAAAGCGUGGGUAGCAAACAGGAUUAGAUACCCCUGUAGUC
rnacentral:rRNA from 1 species